AACCACAUCAUACUUAUUUCUCUGAACCUUUUAUGGAUAAGUUUUGACAAGUUUAGGCUUUCAAUGUCAUUUUUGUGUUAUUUGAUUCAAGUGGGUGUUAGGGACCAGAUGUGAAACUAGAAAAACCGAAGGAUUUCCAUUGACAGAGGUUGCAAGUUCUGGUCAAAGCCAAUCCGGAUUACAUAUAUCAUUUUCAUUGGCCUUUGAGACCAUUCCUAAUAAACUUGAAGCCCAGAGUUCAUAUCUAAGCAGGAUAGCAGCAAAGUUGAGGGAAAUAAAGAAAAGUUAUAACUCUACAAUUUCAGAUCAAGGCUUAAUAACACAUCGUAUAUAUAUACAAUCAGAGAUAUUUUAAGGUCUAAUUUGAAAGGAGCAUGACACUAUUGGAAACAAAUAAAUUUAAUGUGCAGGGAUAAACUCUUUAAAGAGUUUAAGCUUGCAGAGAAGGAAAGACUUUGCUGGGAAAAAAAAAACUCGUGAUUUGCCUACAUUCUUUGGCCACGGGAAACGCAGACAUUAAACUAAGCAAAAAUGAAACCUACAACCACCGAAGGGUGAGUUUCCAGUAAAGAUCAUUCACGGCAUUCAUGGCGAAAGAUCAUGAAGAUGCAAGUUUGGAGAUAGUUUUUCUUUUUUUAAAAAAAAAAAAACGAAAAACAACUAACUAUAUGCGCCUGACUUGCAAGAAUUUAUAAAAGCAGAAUGAAAAUGCAGAGAAGACCAGUUUUUAGCCACUGACAGGUUUCUCAUGAAGGAACAACUCAAGUUAGAAAUCUAAAAUAAAUACUCUCAUAUUUGAUUUUGAGAUGUUCAAGAAGGAUCCUUACGAGAGCAUAAAAAAGAUGAGCACAAGGUUUAUAAUAACAUUAGAAGAAACAUCAAACAACCUGAUAUGGUGAGAAAGAUAUUGAGGUCUUUAGCGAGACCUGGGGAUCUUAGAGUGAUGGCCAUUAAAGAUUUGAAGAUACUUAGCUUAGAGGGUUUCUUAUUUUUUAUGAGUUCAAGGUUACCAAAGGUGAUGUUGACAUCAGUAAGAAAGGCAUUGCGCUCAAACUUUACAAAAUGAUGAUAAUCAAGAUGAUGAUGAAGAUGUCGCUCAUAUUGUGAGGAAAUUCAUAAGUGUUUUCUAGAAGAGAAAUACUACUGAGAUAAUAAAGCAUGAGACUAGCAAAAUGGGCCAAUUUAUUUGCUAUGAAUGCAAGAAACCCAGGCGUGUCAAAAGACAUUGUCCAACUUUAUAUGGACAUAUAGGAAGCUUGGAGAUGUAAACAUGCAUUUGAUUUCAAAGCUUACA